CUGUUGAAAACCAGACUGAUAUAUUCAGGAUAGGAGAUUAGAGGGAGCAAUGUUGUUAUGGUUCACUGUGCUAAGAAACUCAACUUAUCAGCAUAAGAAGUCUUUAGUUUAAAGUGGUUCUUUCUUACUUGCAAGCCUUCAGGAGUCCUCAGAGAUGGAGAAAAACAAAUAAUUGCCUGGGGGACUGGACAGCUUUUGAGACAAUUGUCUACAGCAUGGAACAGACUGAAGAACAAUAGAAAACAUUUAAUUCUCCAAAUACUGUAUUUUCCUUUGUCUUUCAGUGAAAAAUUUAAACGUUUUUGUCUCAA